rnacentral:lncRNA from 1 species
GAUGAACAACUUCUUUAUUCGGAUGAUGGGACGUUUCGAGACAGAUUCUUGUAUCGUUGUCAAGCAAGAAUGAGUCAGACUGAAACAGGUUGAAAUAUAUAUGCAGUGAAAUAGUUAACAAGAACAACAUGAAGUAAUAGGGAAGUACACUAACAAUGUGAUGACAAUGGAUUACAGGUAGAAGCCAGUGACAAUGGAUAACAUUAGAAGCCAGUGGGAUGUACAGAGGUGUUGGACAUGUUUAUACAAGUUACACGAGCAGUUAGGGUUGUUCAUCCAUAAAGUUUUGUCCUUAUCACAUUUACAUAUGUUUAUAAUAUGUUUGAUUCAUAUAUUUGUUAAAUAAACAGAAUGCUAAUCGAC